AUUGCUUUGAGCACCUGGAAAGGGAACACACUCACACACACCUCUUCAAGAGUUACAGGGACAGCGGCUGUUCUUCAGGACCGUCCUGUCUGGAAUACAGUAAGGCCAUGGCAGCCUGGCUAAAGAUGAAGAGUGUGGGCCUGCAGAGUGGAUCAGGGGGUGACCAUUGUCUCCAGUCCAUCCUGUGCUCAGUGAGUCAUUAAUUAAACCCAGAGUCUCCAUAAGUGACCUGUUUUGGCAUUGAGGAAUUACCGCCAUCCUGAGAGUGCCGUGCUGCCAUGUGCAGAGAGGACAAGAAGAGACCCCGUGCUGGCCAGUCCCCCUCAGCAUCAGCCCCAAGUCUGAGCAUGAGGAAUCCGG
rnacentral:lncRNA from 1 species